UCUAAGGGCCAUGCUACCCUGAACAAGCUUGAUCUCGGAAGCUAAGCAGGGUAGGGCCUGCUUAGUACUUGGAUGGGAGAUCACUUAGGAAGAUCAAAGUGCUGUAAGUG
rnacentral:rRNA from 1 species